GAGAGACCAGAAGUAGUAAGGACUGCUAAUCCAUACCCCCGUGGUUAA
rnacentral:tRNA from 1 species